rnacentral:tRNA from 1 species
GCCGGUGUAGCUCAGUUGGCAGAGCGGCUGACUUGUAAUCAGCAGGUCGGGGGUUCGAUCCCUCUCACCGGCU